rnacentral:rRNA from 1 species
UACGAAGGGGGCUAGCGUUAUUCGGAAUUAUUGGGCGUAAAGCGCACGUAGGCGGAUUUGUAAGUCAGGGGUGAAAUCCCGGGGCUCAACCUCGGAACUGCCUUUGAUACUGCGAGUCUUGAGUCCGAUAGAGGUGGGUGGAAUUCCUAGUGUAGAGGUGAAAUUCGUAGAUAUUAGGAGGAACACCGGUGGCGAAGGCGGCUAUCUGGCCAGUAACCGACGCUGAGGCGCGAAAGCACGGGGAUCAAACAGG